CCUACGGGUGGCAGCAGUGGGGAAUUUUGCGCAAUGCUCGUAAGAGUGACGCAGCGACGCCGCGUGAAUGACGAAGGCCUUCGGGUCGUAAAGUUCUUUCGACAGGGAAGAAAAUGCAUAUAAGUAACUGUGUCUGUAUUGACGGUACCUGUAUAAGCAGCCCCGUCUCACUCCGUGCCAGCAGCCGCUGUACUACGGAGGGGGCGAGCGUUGUUCGGGGUGACUGGGCGUAAAGAGCCCGUAGGCGGGGUUGUAAGUCAUUAGUAAAAGACUAGAGCUCAACUUUAGUAAGGCUAGUAAUACUAUAAUACUAGAGGAUCAGAGGGGAUUGAAGAAUCCCUGGUGGAGCGGUGAAAUGCGUAGAUAUCAGGAGGAAUACCGUUAGCGAAGGCGGAAAUCUGGCUGGAAACUGACGCGGAGGGGCGAAAGCGUGGGUAGCAAACGGAUUAGAUACCCCUGUAGUC
rnacentral:rRNA from 1 species